rnacentral:lncRNA from 1 species
CAGUCCUUGGUGAGAUUGGGGCAGGAUUUACUUUUACUAUAGUUGGUUAGUGUAGAGCAUGAUAGUGUAGUGGCAUGUAGCUGUAGAUUGUCUUCCAGCUUUUUCUACUAUCUUUACUUUCUUUUGUAGACUUAGUGAGUGGACCGAUGUUGUUGAGGGCGGCACCCACUGAGGACUACUUAUUUUUACAGUAGUUCUCACGCCCAGUUGUUACUCUUCUUUUGCAGAGCCAUCGGUUCCAACUGCUGCAUCUUCUGAGGCUGAUCGUGGCAAGGGCGUUGCGAGCUAGAGCCUUAUCCGACGAGUUGCCGAGAUAGAGGUCCCUGCUGCAGAUAGAUUUACUUUUGUUUGAGUUCAUGUACAUACAGAUGUUAUUACUCGCUGGGGCGAGUCUUUUUUUGUACCUGGAUAUUAUGUAUGUAUAUGGAACUCGCUUUUGUUUUACUUGUUCGUUUUCUUUCUAGCGGCUCUAUACUACUCGUUGUAGUGUUGUUUGAUUACAGUUUCAGUACAGCUUCGCUUCGUAUAUAGGAAAAACUCCUUCGUAUACGGCGGGUCUGUUGACAUGCCCAGGAAAACAUGUAAUCCGGGACGUGACAGAUUAAGUUGGUAUCAGAGCUUAGUAUUAGGUCGUUGAGACCUAGGAAACCUAAGUUUGGCAAACCUUAGGAAGGCAAGACGCGAGAGGCGUGAUUUAUCCCGAAAGUCAUUGAUUAAUUAUUUUAACUCCUCUUCGAGUGGAGUGAGUAAUUGGAGGAGUUCCUGUUUUGGCCUAUAAAAUUAUGUUGGCUGCAGACUACAUAAUUUUGAGGAGAAACAGGGGGUCGCCUUCUGGACUUUCGUUUGAUUGGGUCGAGAGUGAUUGUAUUUUAUUUGACCCUAUUCCGUUCUUUGCAGUUACAGCUAUGUAUCGUCGCCGAGGUCGACCGUCAUUGCUGGAGCUUGUCCAGUUGACGCAGGAUCGUGCGGGACCUUCCGAGAUGCCGGAGCAGGCAGAGGCGAGUGUACCUCCUGUCGUGGAGCAGAGUGUUCGACCGGAGGCUAGUGCAUCCCCUGACUUGGGUGCACAGAUAGCCGCCCUAACAGGUGACGAGGCUGCAGGGUGAGUUGUUGGAGAGGUUGUGCGAGAGAGUAGCUCCGCCACAGAGUACAGUACCGAGAGCUCCAGAGCAGGCUGUUCCACCUCCGACUACUUCAGCUGCAGCACCAGUCGCAGCCGUACCCCCGCCAGUGGAUAUCCCCGCAGUGCCGGUUGCGCCUCCUAGAGGGCCAGGACAGUUGACCGAGGCCGAGCAGGAGCGGAUGACCAAGAGGUUGGCCCGUUUUCGCCGUUUUGAUCCGCCGACCUUCGAUGGCAGUGGCACUGAGGCCUGGGUCGUUGAGGGCUGGGUCAGUGCGUUGGAGAAGCUAUUUGAGGAUCUGUUAAUUCCUAAGAGGGAGCAGGUAUCUUUGGGAGUCCAUUGCUUGGCAGGCGAUGCAGAUGCCUGGUGGAGAAGAGUGAGGCGAGAUCUGGGACUAGUAGUGUUGCAGUUGAGAUGGGAUGAGUUCUGUGGAAUACUGUAUGGGAUGUAUUUUCCUAACAGUGUGAAAUAGAAGUUCAAGGAGGAUUUUAAGAGGAUUCAGCAGGGGGAUCGGCCAGUGCAGGAGUACAUCCGGGAGUUUACUCGACUCCUGAACUGUGUGCCGUUUGUGGCCAGGGACGAGGCACACAGGGUUUAUCUAUUUGAGCAGGGGCUCAGACCCGAGAUCUUCAGGUUUGUGCGGGCGCAGAGGUCGAGAACCCUGGAUACGUCUAUAGAGCAGGCCUUAUGGGUGGAGAGAGGUGAGGUGUCGCUUCAGAAGAGGACUCAGGCAGCGGGACAGAGUCAGGACAAGAAGCGCCCAGCUCCAGACGAUGGAGGACAGUCGAGCAGCAGGCGUCUGCCGAGACCACCACGCUCACGGUCUCAGGGUCGUGGGUCUUCAUGGCGUCAGCGUUCUGGGGGAUUCCGUCAGCAGAGGCAGUUGCAGGGGUCGCCACAGUGUGUGAUUUGUGGGGGACCACAUGGGGCUCGACAGUGUGAGCAGCGUGAGCGCCGGUGUUUUGGAUGUGGACAGCCAGGGCAUAUGAGAUCAGCUUGUCCCCGAGCAGCAUUUCAAGCACCAUCUACGGCCUCAGCGCAGCCAGCAUCUCAGCAGUCUUUUGAAGCAGCUCCGAGUUUCCGCCAGGAGGACAGAUCGUCUGUGCCGCGUUAGAGUGAGCGGCGACAGCAAGCUCCGAGUGGUAGGGUCUAUACAGCCCAGGUGGAGGAUUCUACAGCAGUCGACCGAGUGGUAGCAGGUAUCAUUUUGAUUUCUAGCAUUAGAGCUCCUACACUUUUUGAUGCCGGUGCAUUGCAUUUUUUUAUUAGCCGAGCAUUUGCAUUGUUGCAUGGUCUAGAGUUAGGAUCAUUGCCACAGGCACGGGAGGUGCAGAUUUCCGACCAUGUGUUACAGGUUGCAGAGUGUUGUUGGUCAUGUUCGGUACAGCUGGGUUCGUGGGUCAUGCCCGCAGACCUGUUGGUGUUAGGGCAGCUGCAGGACUUCGACGUGGUGCUCGGUAUAGACUGGCUGGCGCGGUACUAUGCUACUAUCGAUUUUGGAGUGAGGACGGUGACGUUCCGCAAGCCAGGCCAGGAGGAGUUAACUUUUAGGGGCUGUAGGAGCACGUUGUUCGCUACUUGGAUUUCUUCCGCGAGGGCUCGACAGCUGAUGAGUAGAGGAUGCAUCGCUUUCCUAGCAGCAGUUGCUGAGGUACCUACGGCGGCGCCGGGACUCGAGGAUAUCCCUGUAGUCCGCGAGUUUCCGGAUGUGUUUCCCUCGGAGUUGACGACGAUGCCGCCGGAGAGGGAGAUUGAGUUCGUGAUUGAUGUAGUUCCUGAAACUGCACCAAUCUCAAAGGUACCUUAUCGGAUGGCACUGGCAGAGCUGAGAGAGCUAAAGGCGCAACUUCAGGAUCUGAUGGAUAAGGGGUAUGUGAGACCCAGUGUAUCGCCUUGGGGAGUGCCGGUGUUAUUUGUAAAGAAGAAGGAUGGUUCACUCAGGUUAUGUGUGGAUUAUUGGGAGCUGAAUAAAGUGACCAUCAAGAACAAGUAUCCUUUGCCGCGCAUCGAUGAUCUGUUUGAUCAGCUGCAAGGAUCUUGUGUCUUCUCAAAGAUUGACCUCCAGUCCGGUUACCACCAGCUGAGGGUGAGGGCUAAGGAUGUUUCCAAGACGGCUUUUCGGACUCGGUACGGGCAUUAGGAGUUAACGGUGAUGUCUUUUAGAUUGACCAAUGCCCCUGCCGCAUUUAUGGAUUUGAUGAAUAGAGUGUUCAAGUCGUUUUUGGAUAGAUUUGUGGUAGUCUUCAUCGACGAUAUCUUGAUAUACUCCCGGAGUGACACCGAGCAUAAGGAGCACUUGAGGAUUGUGCUACAACUUCUGCGAGAGAAGAAGUUGUAUGCCAAGUUGAAAAAGUGUGAGUUCUGGUUGCGGGAGGUUGCUUUCUUGGGCCACGUGAUUUCUGCAGAGGCAGUAGCAGUGGACCCGAAAAAAAUUGAUGCUAUUUGGGAUUGGCCCAGACCGACGACGGUGACAGAGGUGAAGAGUUUCCUGGGACUGGCAAGAUAUUACCGUCGGUUUGUGAAAGGUUUUGCGAAGCUUUCCACACCCCUCACUCGAUUGACUCGUAAAGAAUUUAAGUUUAUCUGGAGUGAGGACUGUCAUAGGAGCUUCGGUGAGUUGAGAUAGAGGUUGACGUCGGCUCCUAUCCUUGCCAUUCUAGUAAUGGGUGAAGGAUUUGUGAUCUACAGUGAUGCAUCGCACAGUGGUUUGGGCUGUGUGCUGAUGCAGCAUGGUAGGGUAAUUACUUAUGCUUCACGACAGUUAAAGGAUUACGAGAAAAAAGUACCCUACGCAUGACUUGGAGCUUGCCGCGGUAGUCUUUGCUUUGAAGUUGUGGCGGCAUUACUUGUAUGGCGAGCACUGCGAGAUUUUUACCGAUCAUAAAAGUCUUAAGUAUCUGUUCACCCAAAGGGAGUUGAACCUGAGGCAACGCCGGUGGUUGGACUUACAGAAGGAUUAUGACGUUAGUAUUCAGUAUUAUCCCGGCAAGGCAAAUGUGGUAGCAGAUGCGUUGAGCAGGAAGGCAGUGCAGAGCUUGAGUUUGAUGAUUACUCAGCAGAGGCCAUUACUUGAGGAGUUACAGCAGUUGAGGCUCGAGAUAGUGUCCCCCUGGGUCUACUGUAAGGCUGAUGUCUAUGGUCUUGCAGCUCACUUUGUUGGAUAGGGUCCGAGAGAAACAGAGUGGAGAUCCGCACUUGUCGAGAAUUCGAGAGUAGCUAGAGAGAAGACAGGCAGAGGGCUUUAUUAUGGACAAUUCGGGAGUAAUGCGGUACAGGGACCGACUGUGUGUGCCUGUGGAUUCAGAGAUUCGAGAGGACAUUUUGAGAGAGGCUCAUUGUUAGCCUUAUACGGUUCACCCUGGUGGAACCAAGAUAUAUAAGGAUUUGAAGGCACAGUUCUGGUGGAAUGGAAUGAAGAGGGACAUUGGCAGAUAUGUGGCUCAGUGUUUGACUUGUCAACAGGUGAAGGCAGAGCACUAGGUACUUGCUGGCAAGCUUCAGUGUCUGUCAGUGCCCGAGUGGAAAUGGGAGCAGAUCACGAUGGACUUCGUCGUGGGGUUGCCUAGAGCACAGGGUGGUUUCGAUGCUAUUUGGGUGAUAGUGGACAGACUGACCAAGUCUGCUCACUUCCUAUCAGUUCAGACCACCUGGUCCAGAGAGAGGCUCGCGCAGCUAUAUCUGGAUGAGAUCGUCAGGCUGCAUGGUGUGCCGAUAUUGAUUGUAUCGGACAGAGAUCCGAGGUUUGUUUCGCAUUUCUGGCGGAGUCUUCAGACAGCCUUGGGUACACAGCUACAUUUCAGCACGGCGUUUCACCCACAGACAGAUGAUCAGUCAGAGAGGACCAUACAGAUUCUAGAGGACAUGCUGAGAGCAUGCGUCCUGAACUUUGGAGGAGGGUGGUAUCGACAUUUGAGACUGGCUGAGUUUGUGUACAACAACAGCUAUCAAACGAGCAUCCAGAUGGCUCCGUUUGAGGCGUUGUAUGGACGCAGAUGUCGAUCCCCUUUGUUUUGGAGUGAUGUGGGUGAAAGGAAGACGCUAGGGCCUGAGAUCUUGCUAGAGGCUGAGGAAAAGGUGAGAGUGGUUCGACAACACCUUUUGACAGCCCAGAGCUGCCAGAGGAGCUAUGCCGAUACGAGGAGACGGGACUUAAGAGUUCCGGAUUGGAGAUCAUGUUUUUCUCAAAGUCUCGCCGUCCAGAGGAAUUCGCAGAUUCGGAGUGCGUGGAAAGCUCAGUCCACGUUUCGUUGGCCCUUUUGAGAUAUUGGAGCGAGUUGGACCGGUUGCUUAUAGGAUUGCUCUACCUCCCAGACUGGCCGGUAUUCAUAAUGUCUUCUACGUCUCGGCAUUAAGAAGAUAUGUUUUCGAUCCUUCUCACGUGAUUGACUUCACCCCUCUAGAGAUUGGCGACGAUCUGAGAUACGAGGAGUGACUGUUGCAGAUUCUUGCUCGCGAGAUGAAAGAAUUACUCAACCGGGUCAUCCCGUAUGUAAAAGUGCAGUGGAGUAAUCACGAGGAGCGAGAGGCGACUUGGGAGCCGCAGACGGUGAUGAGGGAGUCCUAUCCCUAUCUGUUUUGUACCCUGAGCUGAGGUAUGUGUUAGUUUCGAGGACGAAACUUUUUGUAGUGGGGAAGGAUGUGAUAUCCCUGGUGUUUAGCUUUUGAGGCUUGUUGACUCGCCGUGAGGGUGUCGGGAUAAGUCCGAGUCUCGUUGGCUCAAAAUAGACGCAAAACGGGCUCAGUAGGGAUGCGAGAGCAGGAGUUAGCAUUGGAAUAUGCAUAUUGCAGAUUUUUCUGCUUGUUGUACCGGUACAACAUCAGGGAUGUACCGGUACACUUUCUGUACCGGUACAGAAUCUGAAGUGUACCGGUACACUUCGCCUGUUUCCGCGCAGCUAUUCUCGGGUUGCUAUUUGUACCGGUACAGAUGCCCGUGUACCGGUACACCAGGGUAGGUGAGAAGGCAGUUUGGUCUUUUCCUCCCUCGUUCGUGUCACCCACCUACUCCCUGUUCCGGAUAGUUAGGUGCCGUUGGGAUUGACGGUGGACCCAAUUUGCUGAGUUGGCAUCAGAUUGUGCCGAAGGCACGUCACUCGUUGGUUGUUAGACCAGUUGGACCUUGUUUCUUGACUUUAGCAUGUGAGGAUUGAGCUCGAUAGAGAUACGCUUGCAUACUCGUUUGGGUCGCGCCCACGAGUGCCAUUCCGAAGUCGGGCUUAGUGCUUUUGUGUUGGUGUCGUUGUGUCCUGGUUGGACUAGCUCUCCACUAACUACUAACUACCCAGCGUGGUGGUUGUUAGUGUAGCUUCGACAGGCGGGACGGGUGUAUCACAGUCCCUGGUGAGAUUGGGUCAGGAUUUACUUUUACUAUAGUUGGUUAGUGUAGAGCAUGAUAAUGUAGUGACACGUAGCUGUAGAUUGUCUUCCAGCUUUUCCUAUUAUCUUUACUUCCUUCUGUAGACUUAGUGGGUGGACCGAUGUUGUUGAGGGCGCCACCCACUGAGGACUACUUGUUUUUAAAGUAGUUCUUACGCCCAGUUGUUACCCUUCUUUUGCAGAGCCAUCGGUUCCGGCUGCUGCAUCUUCUGAGGCUGAUCGUGGCAAGGGCGUUGCGAGCUAGAGCCCUACCCGACGAGUUGCUAAGAUAGAGGAUCCUUGCUGCAGGUAGAUUUACUUUUGUUUGAGUUCAUGUACAUACAGAUGUUAUUACUCGCUGGGGUGAGCCCUUUUUUGUACCUGGAUAUUAUGUAUGUAUAUGGAACUCGCUUUUGUUUUACUUGUUCCUUUUCUUUCUAGCUGCUCUAUACUACUGGUUGUAGUGUUGUUUGAUUACAGUUUCAGUACAGCUUCGCUUCGUAUACAGAGAAAACUCCUUCGUAUACGGCGGGUCUGUUGGCGUACUCGGAGAAACGUGUAAUCCGGGGCGUGACAUUUGAAGUAGAUGCCUAAAUUAAUGCCUAAUUAAUGCAUAAAUUUGGUUAAUCAAUUAAUUUCCUAAAUUAGUGCAAAUUAAUGCGUAAAUUUAGGACCUCAAUUAAAUUUUUUUUUUAAAUGUUGUAUUGUUUAAUUACCAAACUACCUUUGAAUAAAAAAAUCCUUUUACCUGCUAAGUAUUAAAAUUAUAUUUUUACCCUCUAUUAAUCAACGGUUAAGAUUUUUUUUUUUUUUAAAAAAAAAGUACCGAAUCAUUUCUCAUAGAAUAAUUCUGAUUUAUUUUUAUUAAUCUUUAGUUCGGAAGCCCAUUCAUAGUAUACAUAAGCUUCUUCCUC